rnacentral:ncRNA from 2 species
AACGCGAAUAAAAAAAGGACUCAUAUAAAUCUCAAAUAUGGUGGGAUGUUUCUACUGGAAACCUUAAAUUUUCAGCUAUGAGUGAGCUUAAUAUAUAU